UACGUAGGGUGCGAGCGUUGCCCGGAAUUACUGGGCGUAAAGGGCGCGUAGGCGGCACUGUUAGUCAGGCGUGAAAGUCCUGGGCUCAACCUGGGAACUGCGCUUGAUACGGCAGAGCUAGAGGAUGGAAGAGGCUCGCGGAAUUCCCAGUGUAGAGGUGAAAUUCGUAGAUAUUGGGAAGAACACCGGUGGCGAAGGCGGCGAGCUGGUCCAUUACUGACGCUGAGGCGCGACAGCGUGGGGAGCAAACAGG
rnacentral:rRNA from 1 species